rnacentral:lncRNA from 1 species
UCCAAAUCUGCUCUGAAACAUUCAGUAACUGCACCAAAUUCAUUAACAAACACCACUGUCAACUUUGAACAUAUUUACUAUUCCAUUAGGAUUUUUCUAAAAGAAUUAAAAAAAAAAAAAAAUAUAUAUAUAUAUUUACACAUAUCCCCCCAAAUUUUUGACACAAUUUCUAUAGGAAGCCAUGAAUGAUGGCAUGAGUUUGCCAUAUCUUACAUGAUUUUAAAGAACACUCAAAAUAUUCAAGGAACUCUUCGAGUUUUGGUAUAAUAUUUCGAUUUAAUAUUAGCUUCAUUGAUGUUCUGCAUGGAAGGAUUUUUGUUUUCUACAUUUCCCAUCACUGGCAGAAUGAAAUCCAAGAGACCAAACACUUGCAAGCAUCAUAUUUGAGCACUUUUGUAAAAAAGAGGAAAAAAAGCUGAGAAAAAAAAAGAAAAAAGAAAUAAAAAAGAAAAAAAAUAUAAUACUUAAAAAAAAAAGUAUCUAGAAGGCUACCUCAGAAUGAGACUCUCUAACCUACAUCAGAACCAGAGAAGAAUGUGCACUAUGUGGGUCAGUUGUUUUCUUUGAGUUUGUAUCUUUUGGAGAAUUAUCCAAGUGCCAGAUUACUCAGUGCUAUACUUUUCAUUCAGUGAAACAAAGGGGGUCAGACGUUGCGUCAUGCAGACGUGCCGUGUUGGACAUGUAGGAUCUGAUGGUGUACUGCACGCCAGACCAUUGGCCAAUGAGCAGUUUCUCUCCCUGAAGCUGAAACUGCUCAUGUGGCAAAGGGGACGGGGAGAAUGAUCACAGGAAGAAAAUGUAUGGGAUGCACACCACAGACGAGCGAGGAGGAGACUAUUCCAGGUACCUUGCUAUUCAGGAGCUGUUCCGAGAACUAACUCCCUUACUGUCAUUGAUGUGCAUUCCACUGUGCUUUUCUGUACAACCAUUCUACUUUAUUUUCCCAGUUUCCUUUGGGUUUAUGGGUGCCCUGAUACUCCAGCAGAGAUCAGAAGGCUACAGAUCCAUCCUAUCCAUCUGUUAUGUGGCUUUGCCAUCCAAGCUUGGAGUGUCUUUACAAAGAUAAUAACAGUUGUGUUCUUUGCUCUCGUUUUGGAUGCAUAGACUGAAAAAUUAAAAAAAAUAACUUGUAAAAUGGCUUGUUAAAAAAAUACAAUUACCUCUAAUUAGUAGUACGCGUAAAUGUUUUACAGAAUGAAAGGCGUGCUUUUUAUUUUCUUACUUCGUUACAUUGGUGGCGAAAGAAGUCUGUAUGAAAAUCAGUUCUUUGCUGACACAAGUUCCAUUUGUUACAAAUGAAUUCUAAUAAAAACGUCAGUGUUAUGCAGCCCUGGCUUUUGCUUCUGUCCACUCAAGCACUUCGGUUUUGAAAUGAUUAUAUAUGUUCCCUCUUCUCCUUUGAUUAUCUAGUUAGUUCCUUGAUACUAAUAGUAAUUCUUCUUACCAAAAGGCUGCUAUCUACAGGUGUCUGCACUGAGGUGAACACCUUUCACUGGUAAGCAAACUGAUGCUUAAAGAAACAGUUUGCCCAAGUUUACAGGCAAAGAAAGAGGCCUUGGUAUCUCUCAAAUUAUAGAUGAUGGGCAA